CGGAAACGGGGAUUAAUACUCCAUGUUAUUUAUCAAUGGCCUCAUUGAUAAAUAAAAGCUACGGCGGUUUUAGAUGGCCAUGCGUACCAUUAGUUAGUUGGUAAGGUAACGGCUUACCAAGGCGAUGAUGGUUAGGGGUCCUGAGAGGGUAAACCCCCACACUGGUACUGAGACACGGACCAGACUUCUACGGAAGGCAGCAGUGAGGAAUAUUGGUCAAUGGGCGCAAGCCUGAACCAGCCAUGCCGCGUGCAGGAAGACGGCCCUACGGGUUGUAAACUGCUUUUCUGUGGGAAGAAUUCCUACCUAUAUAGGUGGGUUGACGGUACCACAGGAAUAAGCAUCGGCUAACUCCGUGCCAGCAGCCGCGGUAAUACGGAGGAUGCAAGCGUUAUCCGGAUUUAUUGGGUUUAAAGGGUGCGCAGGCGGUGGAACAAGUCAGUGGUGAAAGCCCGGGGCUUAACUUCGGGAUUGCCAUUGAAACUGUUUCACUUGAGUGUAGUUGAGGACGGCGGAAUGAGUUGUGUAGCGGUGAAAUGCAUAGAUAUAACUCAGAACACCAAUUGCGAAGGCAGCUGUCUAGACUACAACUGACGCUGAGGCACGAAAGCGUGGGUAGCGAACAGGAUUAGAUACCCUGGUAGUCCACGCUGUAAACGAUGAUCACUCGUUGUUGGCUACUUAGUAGUCAGUGACUAAGGGAAACCGAUAAGUGAUCCACCUGGGGAGUACGUCGGCAACGAUGAAACUCAAAGGAAUUGACGGGGGCCCGCACAAGCGGAGGAACAUGUGGUUUAAUUCGAUGAUACGCGAGGAACCUUACCUGGGCUUAAAUGCUGGCUGCAUUCACGCGAAAGCGUGAUUUCCUACGGGACCGCCAGCAAGGUGCUGCAUGGUUGUCGUCAGCUCGUGCCGUGAGGUGUCGGGUUAAGUCCCAUAACGAGCGCAACCCCUAUCGUUAGUUGCCAGCAUGUAAUGGUGGGGACUCUAACGAGACUGCCGGUGUAAACCGGAGGAAGGUGGGGAUGACGUCAAAUCAGCACGGCCCUUACGUCCAGGGCUACACACGUGUUACAAUGGCCGGUACAAAGAGCAGCCACCUGGCGACAGG
rnacentral:rRNA from 1 species